rnacentral:rRNA from 1 species
UACGUAGGGUGCAAACGUUGUUCGGAAUUACUGGGCGUAAAGCGCAUGUAGGCGGCCGAGCAGGUCGGAUGUGAAAUCCCUUGGCUCAACCAAGGAAGUGCAUUCGAAACCGUUCGGCUUGAGUCCCGGAGAGGAAGGUGGAAUUCUCGGUGUAGAGGUGAAAUUCGUAGAUAUCGGGAGGAACACCGGUGGCGAAAGCGGCCUUCUGGACGAGGACUGACGCUGAGAUGCGAAAGCAUGGGGAGCAAACAGG